AGCAAGCGUAAGAAGGCGUACACGGCGGCCGAGGACAAGCUUCUUUGCGAGUGUUGGCGAGACAUUGGACAAGACCCGAAGACGGGCACCGAGGAAAAGCAUUCGACCUUUUGGACUCGUGUGCACCGAGAGUUCCAUGAGCGCAAGAAGUUUCCACCUUACCAAUUUGUGAGCACGCACGGGUGGGUAUCCAUUUCCAAGCGGUGGAGGGUGAUCCAACAAGAGUGCAACAAGUUUUGGGCCACCCUUGAGAGCGUCAAGGCCCGCCCCAUGAGCGGCAUCGGCAUGCAAGACAUGGUAUGA
rnacentral:rRNA from 1 species